ACUUGUCGUGUGCCGUAGAAAAGCAGAUCGUCGGCGGACCGCGUUCUCCCGAUAUCGCCGUGUCCGUACUGAUUUGUCCGAUAAUCGAUCGGAAAUUGGUUUUUUGUUUUUUUCGCGACAAUAGCAGCGACGGCGUCACGUCUCCCGUCGCGGUUUCGCGCGCGUUUUCGUGUCUGUAACGACCGCCGCCGCCGCCGCCUGGCUGGGAAACGCUCGUCACCCGCGCACCGCGGUAUCCCGGAGUGGCGGGUCGGCGGACAUUCGUCGACGCGCAUGCGCACCGCCGCGUUUGUGCAAUAGAUUAUCCAGCUGCCAGCCAGCAGCACCGUCGGGACAGGCGGCGGCGGUCCCCGACACCACAAUCGGCAGCCAGCAAACACCGCGACGAAUUAUUUGUGCGCGCCACCAGUGUGUUCUGUGUUGUCUACUCGGCCCGUAACACUGCACCGUGCAUGUGACGCGCGCGCUCUAAAUUAUAUUCCAAUUCCAAUCGAGACGGUCGAGCAGCAGCGAACAAAAAAGCACAUUUCGAACACAAAAAACCAUUGCCACUGCUGCACGGAGAGGAGAGAGACGACGACACGACGACGACAACAACAACAACAACGACGACGACGACGACGACGACAACACGACGACACGACGACGACGGCGGCGGCGGCGGCUGCUAUAGAAAACGACCGCUUCGCGUUCAGUCCGAGCGAUAUUUUUGCCAAUUUCUAUCGCAUUAUCGUUGCACAUACACACACACACACACACACACACACACACACAAACACACACACACGAACACACACAUACAUUAAUACGUACCCAAACACACGCGCGUAACUUUCGUAGUAAUAACAACAAAAACAAAAACAGCGAGCAGCCACGACAGUAAUCUCCAUACGACAUUUGCGAUAUUAUAUGCGUUGUCGUGGCCCGCGGUGCGUCGUCGGAACGCGAGACCGUCGUCACCGUCUGCCCAACCGCUGUAUUUAGCCAAUUACGGUCGUCGUCAUUGUCGUCGUCGUCGUCGUCGUCACCGCCGCCGCGUACUUAACGGGACAGUUGACGACGCAAUCGGUCGCGCGGGCGUGCUAAAUACGUCGUAGACGUCGUCCGGUGGUGUACGUGUUGCCGUCCGGUCGCGCGCGAUGCCGUCCGUCGUCGUCGCCGCCUCCGCCGCCGCCACCACCACCGCCGCCGCAGUCACCGCCGCCGCGUCGUCCACCGGCCACCGUGCCGUCGUUGUGCACAGCCCGUUGUUGUACGCUCGUUGCGUCGUCCGGUCCGACCUAAGUCCGUCCGGCGGUCUGCGAUAGCUUUCCGAGCGGCCGCGCACAGUCGGUCCACUCUACAGCAGCCCCAGCCGCGCGCACCCGACGCCGUCGUUGUACCGGCCGAGGGAGUCCUCGCCCGCAGCCGCAGCCGUCGCCGUCGCCGUUGUCGUCGUCGUCGUCGUCUCGUACCGCUUUACCGGCGACGACCCGCCCGACCGCGCUCGCCCCUACACGUUCAGCAUGAGUGACGUCGCCGAACAGAUCAAAGACGGCAGCAACAUUAUACUGACGACCAGCCCGUUCUCCAACAUCGGCAAACAAGACGUCCUCAAGAGCGCCGUCGACGUGCCAGCCACCGCAUAUAGAAUGUGCAAUCCUUCAUCUCAUAAUAUACCAUUAACUCAAUUUGCACCUAUUGGAAAUUCCAUAAAACCAGGUAUACCAAAAUUGUCAGCCCAUGAAGUUGGAGAUGAACUUGGUAUUUGUCCUGUAAUAUUACAUCCUUCUAAGCAAUUGAGUUCACAAGUUCAGAUGAAAAGUGAUGCGCUUAUAAAAACAAUUGGAUUUGCACCUGCACGAUCUCAAAUGACAGCUCAAGCGCAAAACCGUAUUGUUACAACAUCAUUGCAACGUUCUAUUAUGGAAUCUCAAAAUGUUUCCCCACUUAUAAUAACACCUACAUCGCAUGUUAUUCAUUCUUCUAAUGACAAUGUUCCUGCUAAAAUUGUUCCAAUACCAUCAGCUCCUGCUGUAUCACAUUUUUCUGUAAUUAAUAAGACAGGUUCUUAUGAUAGUAUACCUGAAUAUACAGGCAUACGCCAAAGUUUGGUGUCCGGCACACCACCCGUUUAUACUCAGAGUGAUUUUGCUCGUUUUCCUCCAAAAAGUUACCACCAUAAAAAUGCUGUUGUCAAUCCAGCAGUUAUUCAUGGUCCCAUUCCUGGAAAUAUUGAUGAGCCAUGUAUAAAUAUACCCAAUAGUCAACAUGUAUUUAAACCAAUUAUUUCACCUAGGCCUAGUAUUUUAAGGAAGCGUGAUGCAGAUGGUGUACUUAGAGCGCAGAAAAAUUUAAUACCAAUUUUAACCAAACCUGACAUUGAAGAAUGUAUAAAUAAUAUAGACGAAACACCACUAAACAGAAAUGGAUAUAGUGAUAGUGGUUUACAAUUAGAAUCAAUUAUGGUACCACAAAUACCAGAGGUAAGGUUACUACCUCAAAUUUCUGCCUUAAGUAAGCAAUCACACAUAAUGGUUGAAAUUAGUCCACGAAAAAAACCUCGAAAACAGUUACUCCCUGUUAAUCAAGAAGAUAGUCCAUUUAAAAUAGUAGGUGAUGAUAUGGAGUAUGUGGAUGAAAAAUUAAUAAAAAAUGAUAAAUCUGAAGAUUUUCCUGAUGAAGAUUUAAUUUGUAAUGAUGACUUACUUGAUGGUGAUGCUGAGGAUGAAGCAGAAGAUGAUUUAGAUGAUAUGGAUGUUGAUGAUGAUUGUCCUGCAGAUGAUGAUUAUGACGAUGAUGAUGAUGAUUUUGGGAAUGAUUUUGGAGAUGAAUUUGAUUAUGUUAAGUCAGAUAAAACAUUCUUCGAAGAAGUUAAAACAUCAGUAGAAGCCAGUGAUGAAAGCUCAGCUUGCAAUAAACCUAAGAAUAAACGACCAACAUUAUUAGGAGGUUAUAAAAAUUUGUGGCGGGGGGCAAAUUCUCACCAUUUUCAAAGGUAUACUGAUUUUAAAGUUAAAGAAACUAAAAAGCAAUUAGCUGAUAUGCAGCAAGCUAAAAAGUGGACGUCAGAUAGCAUAUCUGGAUGGAGAGUUCGGCACUUAUUAGAUCAAUUUGAUGGAAUGAUAAUUAUCGAAGAAGAAAUUAUUGCAAGAAUGACUGCACUUAUGUCUGAAAUUGAAGCAAAUAUAAAAGAUCUUAGGCAGUGCAAUACUCUCGUUGAACUAAUUAAAGAUAACAUUCAAAGAAGCAAAGUAUCGAGAGCUCAAUUAGAUGAAAUUAGACAGCAAUUGAAAAAAAUAUUUGACUAUAAAACAUUAAUUGAAGAUGUGGUUGAUAAAUAUUGUCCCAAAGACCUUAAAAAGAAAUAUGCAAAAGUAUUUAAUCUUAGCAAAUCUUAGACGAUAUGUAUUGUUGUCAAUAAGAAUAAUUUGAUUUACACUGCACACAUAUCCAAGAAAUACCCAAUGAAGUAUGUUUAUUGCAAGUACAUUAAUGGUGUAGAAAAAAAUGAUUUUCCAGCUUCGAUAAAAACUGUGAAAACGAAUUCUAGUGAACCAAUCGAAGAUUGUUUAUGUUGGAACAAAAAAAAAAAAAAAAAUCAAAAAUAAUUGAUUUAAAAUUUUGAAAUAUUUGAUGUUUCUUUGUAAGGCCAUUGAACUGAUUUUUUAAUUUAAGAUAUAUAUAAUUCCAAACAUUAGCAUGGUCACAUAUUGUGUAGUUGGACAUCUUUGAAGUUUUAGUUAAGGUCCUUUUUGACGUUCUUAAAAUAUAGAGAAAUUUAAAUUAUUAGAAAUAGAAUUGAAUUUACUAACCUAUUCAAUUGAACUAAAUAAUUGGUUCAUGGUUAAUAUUAUCUUAAAAUAUCGAGGAAAACAGAUUUAUACAACCUUUGAAUAAUCAUUUAUGGCUCAUUAGAAUUUUUCAUUAGAAUUUUGCAUCCCUUAUUUAAUGUAUAUUUAAUAUUUAUUUUUCAUUUAGGUAUCAUUAGCCUUGUUGAUUUAUAUAAUUUGUUAUUUUUCUAAUUAUUCAAGUCCAUAUGUCAUAACCAUUAUUCAAACGGUUAUUUUUUUUUUUGCUCUGAAUACUUGUCAAAAAAUUAAUUCAUGGUAUUGUAGUUAUUGUAACGUAUCUGGAAAUUUCAAAACAUUUAUAUUUUAACUUGCGAUUUUUAAUGUUAAAUUCUAUUACAAUUUUUGGUUCUUUGAAAUCACAUACCACUAUAGGUAUGAAAUAUAACCACAGAUAUGUUUUAUUUAAUUAAAAAUCAGAUGAAUUUUGAAUUGUUUUGAUGAUAUAGAAAUGGAUGAAGACUGCUGUUUUAUUCUUUAAAAUAAUGAAGCAAAGUCAACCUAGUCUUUUAUAAGUUGCCACCUAAGGAACCUAUUCAGCAGUAUUUUUCAAAUUAUUUGGGUAUUUUGUUAUUGCUGUACAAUAGAACUUGAAAUUAUUUGGAUUUCAAUUUUCUUAUUUCUACAAUUUGUAACUGUUUGUGUGUUGCAGAAUAUCUUUAUUGUGGAACUGUGUAUGAGUAUAUAUUUAAAAUCAAUAUGUAUUAAAUGUAUUUAAAGCGACCUAUAAUGUUGUGUUCAAGUUUAUAAGUUAAUGUAUUAUAUGUGUUGCCGUAUGUAUGUGUAUUGUAAUAUAUAUUUUCGUGAAUUAUUGGCCAUACACAUUGUGAACAAAGUUUAGCGAAGUCUCCGAUUUAAUUACCAUAUUUUUGUAACAUUUUAAAUUUAAAUCACUUAUUGUUUAUUAUUGCCUAAAUCGAUGAUUGUAUUUGUUCAUUAAUACACAUACCCAUAUUAAGCACCAUUUAUUAUAUUUCACUUUCAAUUGCUUUGAAAAGUGUGAAUUAAUUUAUUACUUAUAAAAUUGGAAACUCAUUUUAUUUUCCUUGUGUUUCUAAUGCAUAUUUAUAAUGUACAGGAGUAUUAAUAAUUGAUAAUCAGCUUAAACGAUGCACUAGGAAUAUUGAUUGGCCAAAAAUUCAAAAUAUUAACUACAGGUCAUGUGUUUAAAUGUUUUGGGAUUAUGCACUAUCAACAUGGUUGGUGUUAAAGGAGUAAAUAAAAACCGAUGAUCUCCAUUAAUGGAAUAAGUUACAAGGAGAUAAAUGUGUUGAUUAGGAUUGGCCAUCAAAUUCACUUCACCUAUUAAAGGUAGGAAAGAAGUUAAUGAAACUAAUAUUUUUAGUUAUAAAUUAAAGCAAAUAUAUUUUUGGAAGUAUUGUCUGCAAACAAUAUAUUAUAUAUAUAUAUAUACAUAGUAAAUACCAAAAAGAAUAUUUAUAAGGCAAACAAAAAAGGUUUAUUAAUGGCAGAUGAAAUCUAAAGGCUUAUUAUAUUUCAUUGAUAAUUUGUCUGCUCUUGUUGGUAAUGGAGUAGGUAUUUUAUGUUUAUGUUUUUUAAUUUAAAAAGUUAUUAUUUUUCUGGUUAUUUUGUUUAUCUUGGAGUUUGGUGGUUUAUGGACAGACUUGGAAUAAAACAAAGAUAAACGGAAAAAUUAAUAUUUUAAAAGUAUCUUACCCACCCCUAGUUAUAUGUACAUUUAUCUCAUUAUUGUAACCAAGAUCUGACUGAUCUGAACACCAUUAUCUUAUUUAUACUUAUUCAACAGAUCAUUAUCAUACAAUUAAUGAUUGUUAAUACCAAUGUUAAAUAUAACAUUAGCCCAUUGUACAAACGAACUAGAGUACAUCUUAUGUGUCUUGAAAAUAUAAAAAUAUGUAUUAAAAUGCAAAGCAUUUGCUAAACAUUACUAUUUUUCCAUAUUCUUCAGCAUAUUAUAUGGUUUGAAUUUUAAAUGUUUUUUGGUGUGUAAAUGCAUGACAUAUUAUUAUUGAUCAUAAAUCACAUUAUACUAUUAUAGAAUGGCAAAACCAAUUUUUAAUUUACAAAAUAAUACAUUUUGGAGAUUAUCAAGAUGUUUUAUUUUACUGUGGUUCAAAGCUGACAUCCAGAAAAGACGUGCCUAUAAUCAACCGCUUCUGAAUGAGAGCUGCACUUGCAUCACACAGAGACACAUUGUGUAGCCAAGGAAUCUCUAUGUCCAGAUUGCAAAAAACUAAGUGAUCCAAAGUUAUAAUUUAUUAAUUAUAAUAACACUUUAAACAAAUACUAUUUAUGAAGAUGUAUGAAAUUACUAAAAUUCAUAUUUUUAAAAUAGGUACUUAGGCAAAUACUUAAGUUAAUUGAAAAUUAAAACACGGUUAAAUGUACUGUAUAUAAUCCUAUUAGUAACUAAAAUUGUAUUAUUGAAUAAAUAAAUGAGUAUGAUUACAAUAUA